rnacentral:rRNA from 1 species
AUGAACGCUGGCGGCGUGCUUAACACAUGCAAGUCGAACGGAAAGGCUCCUGCUUGCAGGGGUACUCGAGUGGCGAACGGGUGAGUAACACGUGGGUGAUCUGCCCUGCACUUCGGGAUAAGCCUGGGAAACUGGGUCUAAUACCGGAUAGGACCACAUUUUGGCUGGUGUGGUGGAAAGUUUUUCGGUGUGGGAUGAGCUCGCGGCCUAUCAGCUUGUUGGUGGGGUAAUGGCCUACCAAGGCGUCGACGGGUAGCCGGCCUGAGAGGGUGUACGGCCACAUUGGGACUGAGAUACGGCCCAGACUCCUACGGGAGGCAGCAGUGGGGAAUAUUGCACAAUGGGCGCAAGCCUGAUGCAGCGACGCCGCGUGGGGGAUGACGGCCUUCGGGUUGUAAACUCCUGUCGCUAGGGACGAAGCGUUUUUGUGACGGUACCUGGAGAAGAAGCACCGGCUAACUACGUG